UACGGAGGGUGCGAGCGUUGUCCGGAAUCAUUGGGCGUAAAGGGCGCGUAGGUGGCCCGGUCAGUCUUUGGUGAAAGCGCGGGGCUCAACCCUGCGUCGGCCAGGGAUACUGCCGCGGCUCGAGCACUGUAGAGGCAGGCGGAAUUCCGGGUGUAGCGGUGGAAUGCGUAGAGAUCCGGAAGAACACCAGUGGCGAAGGCGGCGACCUGGGCCAAUACUGACGCUGAGGCGCGAAAGCUAGGGGAGCAAACGGG
rnacentral:rRNA from 1 species